rnacentral:rRNA from 1 species
GAAUUUUAUAUAAAUUUAAGAAUAGAUUUAAUAUAAUAUUAUUGAAUUUAUAUUUUAUUGGGAGGAUAGUUAAAUUAUAUAAACUUUAGUAGUAUAAGUCCAUUUAUUUAUGAAUUAUAAAUUAUAGAGUGAUAAAAGUUUUAAGUAGAAUUAAUUACCUUAGGGAUAACAGCGUUAUAUUUUUAGAGAGAUCUUAUUGAUAAAAAUGAUUGC